rnacentral:rRNA from 1 species
UACGGAGGAUGCGAGCGUUAUCCGGAUUUAUUGGGUUUAAAGGGUGCGCAGGCGGAUUUUUAAGUCAGCGGUCAAAUCGUGGGGCUCAACCCCAUCCAGCCGUUGAAACUGGGGAUCUAGAGUGUGCGAGAGGUAUGCGGAAUGCGUGGUGUAGCGGUGAAAUGCUUAGAUAUCAGGAGGAACAUCGGUGGCGUAAGCGCUUUACUGGGCCGUAAUUGACGCUGAGGAACGAAAGCCAGGGUAGCAAAUGGG